rnacentral:lncRNA from 1 species
GUUCUCUUGGCAGCGUCUCAGGCUGUCUGGACCAGCUGUCACAGUCUCGCUGUGGGUUUUGCCUGGCAUUCUGCAGAAGCAUUGCUGUAUCUUACCAGACAGGAAUACAGAUGAAGACCCCCAGGCCCAGGGAAUUCGAUCACUGGCUGAGAACUCACAGCUAAGGAGGGGGAGCCUGGGAUUCCUUCCUGGUGCUCACACCCGAGACCCUUUUGUCACUGUGUUCAAAGGCACUGCUGCACAGACGUGAUUCUUCUUUCAACGAACAUCUCCAGGACUUCCUCCGGGGUCUGUGACCUCAUCUAUAAUUAAAGGGAAAGAGAUCUUCCUGAGAUUAGCCCAUUUAACUUGUUUAACUAGAUGCAUGCUGCAAAAACUGUUUUCAAGAAAUGAACAAUUGACUAUUUAAAAAGAGCCAAGCCUUAAAAGAAGACCAGGUUUUAAUAGGGAAAACAUUCAGUAAAAUAUUAUUCUGCAGUAACUUGUGGAAUGACUGCUGUACACACAGCUCUGGGCUGGGUACCUGGAAGCUCACGAGCUUGUUUGGCCUCCCCUCCUGGACACAGGAGGUGUCAAGGCUGUGGUCAGCAGAAUCUACCCAGCUGGACACUGAGUGGACGCCCUGUGGGGUGGCUGUGAAAUGGGUCCACUUUGUAGUGGCAGCAUCCCUGAUAGUACUUCUGAAAGGGACAAGAUAGAAAAGCAAACCAAACUGAAACUGAGAAGUCGUGGAUGAUACCAGGGGCGCACAGUGGCUGACAGGAAGAGACUGCCUGGGGGGUCUCGGAGCCAGUGGCUGGAGUGGAGUUAGUUUGACCGAGUCCUGGACUAGGGAGGGGACCCCCAAAGCAUGCCCAGCAUGGCGCUAGUGGGGCCCAGGCACCCCAUGUCCCAACGACUAGAACCAAUAAUCAGGUUAACACUCAUUAAAUAAGAAGUGUCUGUGCCUCCUGGGAUAAAAAUCCUUUAUAACGAUCUGGGACGCGAGCUCAAGUCCCUGUUCCCUUGUCCUCCACAGCAGUGUGCAGCGUG